GUGAGUCAUCGAAUCUUUGAACGCACCUUGUGCCCUUUGGACAUCCAAGGGGCAUGCCUGUUUGAGUGUCUUGAAGCCCUCAAGCCAGCCCAUCUUUGUGGUGGUGGUUUGGACUUGGAUGCCUUUGCUGGACUUGUUUGAAUAACAGGGGUCAGCUCGUCCGAAAUGCAUUUGCUGCUGGUCCGUGAACUUGGUGUGAUUAAAUCAUCACUCGCCAGGUGUAAUGGACUUUGAAAAGCCGCUCUGUGGACGCAAGUGAUUUGACCUCAAAUCAGGUAGGAUUACCCGCUGAACUUAAGCAUAUCAAUAAGCGGAGGA
rnacentral:misc_RNA from 1 species